CAUUCAGCUUGUAGAAAGUGCACACAAAGCAACUUUAUAUUCUUUCUUUUUUUUUUAAACAUUGCAAUGAUACAUAGGUGAGAAAAGUGGCUCAAGGGAAAGGGAAUUAAUAUCUGGGCUGGAGCCAUUGUAUGUGGAGAAGAUCAGCUUUUUGAAAGAUGUUUCAUUUUUCCUACCGAUGUCCUUGGUUGUCAAAUGCUGAACAUUAGAAACACAUCCAAACUAAAAUUGGCCUGUGGGAAAGACAGCAGUCAAGGUUACAGACACAUCAGAAAACAGUGAGUUAUCCCACCCAGCCGCAUCACCUAUGAUGCUACCAAGUGAGGCAAGCGCCCGUGUUGCCAGCUGGGCCAUCUGUUCCCGCUGCAGCUCUCCUGGUCAGUGUGGGGCAGGAGACACCUGUCACAUGCAUUCGCAUGUUGCAGAAAGCAUAGUUGUUGGUGUUUGGCAGGUCAGACCCUUCUCCAAAUCAGAAUGAGACAAGUGCUUUGGCACUGGAUGGCUGCAUAUGGUACAGCAUCCUUCCAGGGUGCAGUAGCAGUGUGGUUGGGCUCCUUUACUGUGGUGGACAAUCUCAGUGACCCUUGAUGAAACAUCAGACCAUAAAGAACUAAGCGGUGCUCUCCCCACCUAUACUAACAGUUGGCGCUGCCUGAUGUGUUAAACAUGAGCAAAAGGGAUAGUAACAAUAUCACUGGAGGUAGCUAAUAGUGACAUGUCUAUUUACCUGUUUUUAGGUACUCGUGUGUGUUGUCUCUAUCCUAUAAAUCAUACUUCAAAAGAGAAACAAUCUAUGGAAAUUAAAACUAGAAUUAUUUGAGUGACUUACUCCAUAUCUCACAGGCAGUAAACUAACAUCAGAUUUAUAGCUCUUAAUCUCAUGAUCCCAAGAGCACCAUCUUGUCUUUGAAAAGGAUGUGGCUGAUGGCAUUUUGUACAUUCUUUAAAUUCAAGGUUAUUAAGACAGUAUUAGAUGCAGUACUAGUGAACGUUAAGAUCUCAGCCUCAGGUGUAUUUUGUUAUUAAAAGCCUGCAUUUCAUCUGGAUUUCAAAUCUAGUGU
rnacentral:lncRNA from 1 species